rnacentral:rRNA from 1 species
UACGGAGGGUGCGAGCGUUGUCCGGAAUCACUGGGCGUAAAGGGCGCGUAGGCGGCAUGCCAAGCGUGCGGUGAAAGUCCGGGGCUCAACCCCGGAUCUGCCGUGCGGACUGGUUUGCUAGAGCACUGUAGAGGCGAGUGGAAUUCCGGGUGUAGCGGUGGAAUGCGUAGAGAUCCGGAAGAACACCGGUGGCGAAGGCGGCUCGCUGGGCAGUGGCUGACGCUGAGGCGCGACAGCGUGGGGAGCAAACAGG